CACAGACACAGUGACAAUCUGAUCUCUCUUGCUUUUCCCCACACAGGAAGCACAGCCUGUGAUCCCAGGAAGACUGAGGAAGCCCCACCUGAACCCUCACAAUCCUGCUGGACCAGGGGGCUGGAGGACAUGGAUAGGUGGGGCAAGGAGUGAAGGCAGGGAGAGGAAGAGAAAUCGGAUCUCCACUGUUGGUGGGUGCCAAAUCCACCUGAUCCCCUUGCUUCCUGGCUAAAGAUGUCGUGGAAGUAGCCUUGGCUCCAUCAGCAAAAAUCUCUGCCCCUUCCAUGAGGGACCUUGCACUGGCCGCUGAGGGCACCAUGGAUUCAGCAAUGAUUCCACCCUGCCUUGCCCCCUGGGAGUCCCAGUCUGAGAGAGGAGGCAGUUCCAGACCCAGACAUACCCAGUACGAUGUGUUUGACAUGGACAUCUAGUCAAGCGCCAGGCCGGAGCAGCUCUCUGAUCCUAAAAGCCUCUGCCUCCAGCCCGUCUCACUCCUGAUACUGAUGGGCAAACUGAGGUUGGGAAUGGGUGAGGUAGGUCCCAGGCCACACCAGGAUGAGCUGGGCCAGGGCCACAAUCUUGUCUCCUGGCUGGGGCUCCUCACGCCACACCCCACCUCCUCAUUCUGAGCUCUAUUUUUGCUGGAAGGCACAGAUGAAGAUUAAAA
rnacentral:lncRNA from 10 species